rnacentral:lncRNA from 1 species
GGCAGCGGAUGGACCGUUUGGGGCAGCCUGGAGCCUGCCGGCGCCCAAGCCAUCGCGUCAAUCCCAGGAGAGACGCGUCGCUCGGGCGCACUGCAGGCCCACGGUGAGUGCCGCCCGCCAUUUUGUCACCCCCUUCAGUGGUGACACCUGGGGCAGCCCACCUCCACCCCCCCUUCCUCCACCCCUGCUCCACCCCCUCCUCAAAUUCUUUUGCCAGGCUGGAAUGUGGGUGAGUUCUUUUUAAAAAUAUUUUUCAAAGAUUUCACUCAAGGAUUUUCAACCUUUAGUCAUUUAUAGGAGUCUUUAGAAUACAUCUCACAUUGGAUAAUGUGGACUGAUUUGAAUUCCAAUCAAUUUUAACUCGGGGCAGAAGCUGUUCUCCGCCCCGCCCCCACCAUGUAAUUGUUUAAGAAACCGAGAACUGUCAUUUGAAAAAGGCUUAGUGUACGGAACUGGAUAAAUAAAUUUGGUUAAUAGAAUAAUCCCACGAAAGUGCAGGCUGAGAGUGCAGCUCAUUUGACUCUGUGCAGGCUUUAAAAGAGCUCUUUCCUGGUUAAUCCAUUCUGCUAUAGAGUGCCAUUGCUAUGUAAGCUUUUCUUCCCCCUUGUUACCCUGAAUAAAGAAGUUAGAUGUAUCAUAACUUUUCAAUUUGUAGACUAUGAAUAACAUUACUUAGAUUGUACAGAAGAAAUCCUCCUGCUGGAUCCGUCGUCGUCUAAUGACACCACAUCUAAUUGGCUUAUGUCAAGAAAUACAUGCGUUCGCAGUACAUGCUGUAAAUCCUGUAAAUGUCUAAAGGAUGAAGAAACAGGGUUAAGGCAGAGCAAGAGCAAAUGCUUUAGGGGUCUCACAUGUCAUAUUCAACAAGUGUACAAUCUGUGCAAUACAACUCGUUGAACAGGACACCUGUACAGCCAUUCGUGUGUAACAUUAGACUGCAUGGUCCACAGUGGUACCUUGGAUUACAGACGCUUCAGGUUACAGACUCCACUAACCCAGAAAUAGUACCUCAGGUUAACAACUUUACCUCAGGAUGAGAACAGAAAUUGCGUGGCGGCAGUGGGAGGCCCCAUUAGCUAAAGUGGUACCUCAGGUUAAGAACAGUUUCAGGUUAAGAACGGACCUCCGGAACGAAUUAUGUUCUUAACCCGAGGUACCACUGUACUCAAGAGGAGUCCAGUCUUUCACACAAAUGCAAGUACUUGUGUAGAGUCAGCUUGUGUUCAGUGUAAAGUGUGAACCGCCUUGUUCUCUCUCGCAACAAGUUGCAUAGUCUUGUCAGCAUGCAACUCCUGUGCUCGGAGAUAUGCACUGGUUGCUGAUCUGCUCUUGGGCCAAGUUCAAGAUACAGUUGCACCUUGGUUCUCAAACUUAACCCGUUCCGGAAGCCCAUUCCAAAACCAAAGUGUUCCAAAACGAAGGUGUGCUUUCCCAUAGAAAGUAAUGCAAAAUGGAUUAAUCCAUUCCAGAAUUUUAAAAACAACCCCUAAAACAGCAAUUUAACGUGAAUUUUACUAUCUAACAAGACCGUUGAUCCAAUAAAUGAAAGCAAUGAACUGCAGUCACACAAUCAGUCAAUCAAUUAGUAGCUGAACUGGGUUCUAUACAGUCACAAGAACAAAACAAAGAAGCCGCAAAAACAAAAACGCAAAAUAAAUAGCAAAAACAGGCAGACCUCGGUGUAACACUCAAAAUGGAAGUGUGGCACUCAAAACGGAGCAUGUUCAGCUUCCAAAAGAAGUUCGCAAACCAAAACACUUACUUCUGGGUUUGCAGUGUUUGGGUUCCAAGUUGUUUGAGUACCAAGGCGUUUGAGAACCAAGGUACCACUGUAUUGCUAUUAGUAAAGCUACCCUUUACCAUUAGGUCCAGUCGUGACCGACUCUGGGGUUGUGGCGCUCAUCUCGCUUUAUUGGCUGAGGGAGCCGGCGUACAGCUUCCGGGUCAUGUGGCCAGCAUGACUAAGCCGCUUCUGGCGAACCAGAGCAGCGCACGGAAACACCGUUUACCUUCCCGCUGGAGCGGUACCUAUUUAUCUACUUGUACUUUGACGUGCUUUCGAACUGCUAGGUUGGCAGGAGCAGGGACCGAGCAACGGGAGCUCACCCCGUCGUGGGCAUUCAAACCGCCGACCUUCCGAUCGACAAGUCCUAGGCUCUGUGGUUUAACCCACAGCGCCACCCGCAUCCCGCUAUUAGUAUACAAAGCCCUUAGCAACUUGAGAUCAGUUUACCCCUUAUGUGCCCACUUGUCCGCUUUGAUCAGUGGAAUUGCCCACAUAUGAUACCUACUCCACAUUUGUAAGAACUCAGUUGUUUUGUGUGUCAGCUCCUAAACUUUGGGACUCCUGCCUAUUGAUAUCAAGUAGUUGCUUUCACUGUAUUUUUUGGGUGCCUGCUAUAAAGCAUUUCUUGUUUAAGACAAGCCUACCCACAUGCUUAGAAAGCUGUGAUGAGUUUUGAUUUGUUGUAGUCUAUUGUUUUAACUUCCUGUAUGUUUCAAAUUAUUGCUGUAAACUUUUAUUUUGAUGAUUGUAUUAUUUUAUCUUUUUGUGAACCUCUUUGAGGGUUCUUCUACAGUUGAGUAGUGUAUACUUUUAAUGAAAUACAUCAAUCUCAUAGAUUAAAAAGAUGCAUGCCCUGGCUUUCGCUUCCUGAUGUGAUGCUAGAGUGGUUGAAAACCUUUCAUGUUGUCCUUUCCUACGCUCCAGACUCAUUGCAAUUCCUUCUUCCAGCUAUCCAUUGCAGUCUAAAUCCAAAUGGUAUCGAUCUCUCCGUCCACACGGAAGGAAUUAACCUGCAACUUGAAGGCGAGAGAGUGGACACAUCCUCCCAUAAGAAGGAGAGCUCUUCCAAGUUGCUCGAGUCCAAAGGAACGCCCAAGAGACAGCACGGGGAGCCAGAAUCAUCUAAG